GGGGGCGACCGGAUUCGACUGGAUUGCUGUAUGUAUGGGUGGCGUGUCGUGGUUGAUCAGCAGGCCACGUAAAAAGCCGAUCAAAAAACAACUGCCAAUCGGCCGUUGACCUUGGCUGCCUAGUGCAGCCGUGACCUAGGAAUCCCCGCCGAUGGAGUCCGAAAGUCACACGCAAAUACCGGCUGGCUCCUGGUCAAUGUGACCUACGUCAGGAGCGAGACUCGUGGGACACUGGUCGCGAACAGGCUUCGUCUGUUGAGCCUGCCGCGAUGACAUCAAUCAGCGGAAUACACACGUAGAGGCCCAUGCUGAGGUAUCACAGGACAGGGGUUCAAUUCCCCUCGCCUCCAAAU
rnacentral:tmRNA from 1 species